UUGACUUAUUUGCUUCUAUUUUCGUAGUCUUUGAAAAGGUCAAUAUAACUUUGAAGCGAAUGUCUGAUUUUUUUGGUUCCUUAAUAUAUAUAACUAUUGCAUCAUUGAUUUUGAUUCGUACUUUCUUUUGAAGGAAUUGUGCGUCAACAAAGCAGUGCUGCUGAAAGUUUCAAUCCUCCAAAGCUUAGGAGGAAUGCUUCUGCUGCAUCUAAUAUAAGUAGCACUGCUUCCCAGGUGGUCCAACACUUCCAGGUUAUACUUGAGAAGACGUUGAAAAUAGAGAAGAAACUGGAAGAAGACUUCUUCUGCUUAUUACCUACCAUCACUGUGGUGUUGUUUUGGAUAACAAUGACUGCAAUAAUCACUGUGAAGACAAUGAAAUUUGGAGAACUCUUAUUGUCUUCGUUUUCAAUGCAGAGGUAACACAACUCAUUUAUACCAGAGGGAGGCUUUAGAUCCAUGACUUGUGAAUAGUGAAAGAAUCUGAUAAAGCAUAAGCGAGACCAACAUAAAGGCUUUAAAUGGUGUUGAUUUGGAAAGCUAACGAAUCACGUUUUUUGGGGCAUCAAAGGUUGCAGCCACAGCCAGUACUGGGAAAUUGGACUUGUUAAGGAACUUGGGAGCAUACUUAGCCAUUGAUUAUACAAAGGGGCUGCUUGAAGAGCUGGAAGAAAAUUUUGAUGUAGUGUACGAUACAGUAGGCAGAGUGAGAUUGAUAGAACAUUGAAGGUUGUUAAAGAAAAUGGGAAAGUUGUGAUAGUAGCAGCACAUGGAAGUUCUUCAGAUAUCUUCGUAAUGCUCAUAAUGGGUAUAUUCCCUGCCCAUCAUUGACAUAAUUCGGGGUUUUGGAUUGAAUAUAUUGAAAGCCAAGAUGGAAAGAAAGAAGAACAAACUAUGGGCAAGCUUUGUUGUUGAGGCAAACAGACACAUGACAAGGAUAGAUGUGUUUAGGAUACACUUAGCAAAAUGAAUAGGUGAUCAAUUCCCAACUAUGUUCCCAAGGAAGAGGCUGUGCAAAAUGAAUAGGAAAGCGAAAGAGUUGUAAGCAAAGAAAAUGGAAUGUUUGGAAAACUUGUGCAUUUGUUUUGGACUCUUGAAGUAAUGUUUAAUAUCUAAUAAUUAGGAGCUAUUGGC